rnacentral:tRNA from 1 species
GCCGGUUUGGCUCAGUGGAUAGAGCAUCAGCCUGCAGGCUGAAUGGUCCCAGGUUCGAUUCCGGUCAAGGGCA